UNUGACUUGAGUGCAGAAGGGGAGAGUGGAAUUCCAUGUGUAGCGGUGAAAUGCGUAGAUAUAUGGAGGAACACCAGUGGCGAAAGCGGCUCUCUGGUCUGUCACUGACGCUGAGGCUCGAAAGCGUGGGUAGCGAACAGGAUUAGAUACCCUGGUAGUNCACGCCGUAAACGAUGAGUGCUAGGUGUUAGGCCCUUUCCGGGGCUUAGUGCCGGAGCUAACGCAAUAAGCACACCGCCUGGGGAGUACGACCGCAAGGUUGAAACUCAAAGGAAUUGACGGGGGCCCGCACAAGCGGUGGAGCAUGUGGUUUAAUUCGAAGCAACGCGAAGAACCUUACCAGGUCUUGACAUCCCGAUGCUAUUCUUAGAGAUAGGAAGUUACUUCGGUACAUCGGAGACAGGUGGUGCAUGGUUGUCGUCAGCUCGUGUCGUGAGAUGUUGGGUUAAGUCCCGCAACGAGCGCAACCCUUAUUGUUAGUUGCCAUCAUUAAGUUGGGCACUCUAGCGAGACUGCCGGUAAUAAACCGGAGGAAGGUGGGGAUGACGUCAAAUCAUCAUGCCCCUUAUGACCUGGGCUACACACGUGCUACAAUGGUCGGUACAACGAGUUGCGAGCCGGUGACGGCAAGCUAAUCUCUGAAAGCCGAUCUCAGUUCGGAUUGGAGGCUGCAACUCGCCUCCAUGAAGUCGGAGUCGCUAGUAAUCGCGGAUCAGCACGCCGCGGUGAAUACGUUCCCGGGCCUUGUACACACCGCCCGUCACACCACGAGAGUUUGUAACACCCGAAGUCGGUGAGGUAACC
rnacentral:rRNA from 1 species